GGUGAUGUAGCUCAGUGGCAGAGUGUUUGCCUAGCAAGGCCCUGGGUUCAAUCCCCAGUAUCACAA
rnacentral:tRNA from 1 species